UCUUUCAUUAAGCAGGGCCUUCCAUGUGAUGGGCACCAAGUAACUGUUUGAUUAUUACCAGAGGCAGCAUAACCAGAGGCAGCACAGCCUGGUCUCCCUCUGGGGUGUGAAAAACUGACACUACAUCCUUUCUUGAAAGCAGAAGGUGACAGAAAGGUAAUGAGAGUGUUGGUGCCUGUAGGAGGGAUGGGAGAAGCAGAGCUUUGAAGGAUGAAAAGGAGUACCAAAGAGUCUGGCUAGGCCUAUGGAGAUGACCUUUGCUGAUGUACAUUUUCCAGGUGGAACUACCUGCAGGCAUAGGACUCAGGUUGAGAAGUUGCUUCCAAACAGCAAGGUCAUUAUCAGUCUCAGAUCCAGUUCAUGGAUCUGGCACACCAUAGCGGGAGAGAGAUCAGAAUUCACAGAUCUGGAGAGGUGCUGUAGGAAGCCAAGCCAGUGUCUCAUUUCAGGUGGUUGAGUCAUCUGUGCUUUUCACACCUCAGUCAGAAUACAGCUGCUCCUUCUUUGCCACCCAUGAUAAAAAGGAAAAUAUUUAUUUGAGCAAUCAGGGUGUUCAAUUUCUUCCAGUACCCUAGAAGUAACUGAAGCAAUGCAAUUAUUCUUGAAGAAGACGGACUCCAGAUGCCACUGUGAUUACCCCAUUCUGACCCACUCUUGGAGCUUCCUGUCACCAGCCAUCCAUUCUCUUCUCUGUCUUGGUUCACUCCUGAGGGCUU
rnacentral:lncRNA from 1 species